GAUGAACGCUAGCGGCAGGCUUAAUACAUGCAAGGCGAGGGGACAGCAAUGUCACCGCCGUACGGGUGCGUAACGCGUAUGCAACCUACCUUCAACUGGGGGAUAGCCCGGGGAAACCCGGAUUAAUACCGCAUAAUACAGGGGGCCCACAUGGGUCUAUUUGUUAAAGAUUUAUUGGCUGAAGAUGGGCAUGCGUUCGAUUAGCUAGUUGGUACGGGUAGCGGCCUACCAAGGCGACGAUCGAUAGGGGAGCUGAGAGGUUGAUCCCCCACACGGGCACUGAGAUACGGGCCCG
rnacentral:rRNA from 1 species